rnacentral:rRNA from 1 species
UACGGGGGGGGCAAGCGGUUGUUCGGAAUUACUGGGCGUAAAGGGCUCGUAGGUGGCCAACUAAGUCAGACGUGAAAUCCCUCGGCUUAACCGGGGAACUGCGUCUGAUACUGGAUGGCUUGAGUUUGGGAGAGGGAUGCGGAAUUCCAGGUGUAGCGGUGAAAUGCGUAGAUAUCUGGAGGAACACCGGUGGCGAAGGCGGCAUCCUGGACCAACACUGACACUGAGGAGCGAAAGCGUGGGUAGCAAACAGG